rnacentral:rRNA from 1 species
UAAUACGUAGGAGGCAAGCGUUGUCCGGACUGACUGGGCGUAAAGCGCGCGCAGGCGGAGCAGGGCGUCGGUGCUGAAAUCGGGCCGCUUAACGGCCCGCGGCGUGCCGAUACGCCUGUUCUGGAGCGCGGGCGAGGGUGGUGGAAUUGCCGGUGUAGUGGUGAAAUGCGUAGAGAUCGGCAGGAACACCCGUGGCGCAAGCGGCCACCUAGCCCGUUGCUGACGCUGAGGCGCGACAGCGUGGGGAGCGAACUGGAUUAGAUACCCAGGUAGUCCACGCCGUAAACGAUGCCGACUCGGUAUCGGGCGGUCUACCGACCGCCGGGUGCCCCAGCUUACGCGGUAAGUCGGCCGCCUGGGGACUACGAGCGCAAGCUUA